rnacentral:rRNA from 1 species
CACCCUUGUAUGUUUGAUGUUCUAACUUAGACCCAUUAUCUGGGUUGAGGACAGUGCCUGGUGGGUAGUUUGACUGGGGCGGUCUCCUCCCAAAGAGUAACGGAGGAGCACGAAGGUGGGCUAAUCACGGUUGGACAUCGUGAGGUUAGUGCAAUGGCAUAAGCCCGCUUAACUGCGAGAAUGACGGUUCGAGCAGGUGCGAAAGCAGGUCAUAGUGAUCCGGUGGUUCUGUAUGGAAGGGCCAUCGCUCAACGGAUAAAAGGUACUCCGGGGAUAACAGGCUGAUACCGCCCAAGAGUUCAUAUCGACGGCGGUGUUUGGCACCUCGAUGUCGGCUCAUCACAUCCUGGGGCUGAAGUCGGUCCCAAGGGUAUGGCUGUUCGCCAUUUAAAGUGGUACGCGAGCUGGGUUUAGAACGUCGUGAGACAGUUCGGUCCCUAUCUGCCGUGGGCGUUGGAAGAUUGAAGGGGGCUGCUCCUAGUACGAGAGGACCGGAGUGGACGAACCUCUGGUGUUCGGGUUGUGUCGCCAGACGCAUUGCCCGGUAGCUAAGUUCGGAAUUGAUAAGCGCUGAAAGCAUCUAAGCGCGAAGCGAGCCCUGAGAUGAGUCUUCCCUGACAGUUUAACUGUCCUAAAGGGUUGUUCGAGACUAGAACGUUGAUAGGCAGGGUGUGUAAGCGUUGUGAGGCGUUGAGCUAACCUGUACUAAUUGCCCGUGAGGCUUAACCAUACAACACCCAAGGGGUUUUGUA